AGGGAAUCUUCGGCAAUGGGGGCAACCCUGACCGAGCAACGCCGCGUGAGUGAAGAAGGUUUUCGGAUCGUAAAGCUCUGUUGUAAGUCAAGAACGGGUGUGAGAGUGGAAAGUUCACACUGUGACGGUAGCUUACCAGAAAGGGACGGCUAACUACGUGCCAGCAGCCGCGGUAAUACGUAGGUCCCGAGCGUUGUCCGGAUUUAUUGGGCGUAAAGCGAGCGCAGGCGGUUUGAUAAGUCUGAAGUUAAAGGCUGUGGCUCAACCAUAGUUCGCUUUGGAAACUGUCAAACUUGAGUGCAGAAGGGGAGAGUGGAAUUCCAUGUGUAGCGGUGAAAUGCGUAGAUAUAUGGAGGAACACCGGUGGCGAAAGCGGCUCUCUGGUCUGUAACUGACGCUGAGGCUCGAAAGCGUGGGGAGCGAACAGGAUUAGAUACCCUUGG
rnacentral:rRNA from 1 species